rnacentral:sRNA from 2 species
GCCCCCGUCAUUCGGGAGUAGCUGCACCUCAUUGCGAGGUGGCCUGCGUCAACAUGAUUGGCCCCACAGGGCCAUGGCGCCGGCGGUUACAGCCCUGGUUUUCAACAGCCAGCGGCUUUUUUCUUGGCAAGACGUCUGACC